rnacentral:rRNA from 1 species
UAAGGAAUAUUGGUCAAUGGACGCAAGUCUGAACCAGCCAUGCCGCGUGAAGGAUGAAGGUCCUCUGGAUUGUAAACUUCUUUUAUAGGGGACGAAACCCGGGAAUUCUUUCCCGAUUGACGGUACCCUAGGAAUAAGCACCGGCUAACUCCGUGCCAGCAGCCGCGGUAAUACGGAGGGUGCAAGCGUUAUCCGGAUUCACUGGGUUUAAAGGGUGCGUAGGAGGGCAGGGAAGUCAGUGGUGAAAUCUCCGGGCUUAACCCGGAAACUGCCGUUGAUACUCUCUGUCUUGAAUAUGGUGGAGGUGAGCGGAAUAUGUCAUGUAGCGGUGAAAUGCUUAGAUAUGACAUAGAACACCAAUUGCGAAGGCAGCUCGCUACACCUAUAUUGACUCUGAGGCACGAAAGCGUGGGGAUCAAACA